AGGGCGUUGGCGAAAUUGGGGCUUCAGGGUUCUUCUAGGAUUUUCCUGCGUUGGCGAAAUUGGACGAAGGAGUGGUUCACAGAAGCAUCGCGAGGGUGUGGGAUCUUUGUGCUGGAAAGUUGGCGUUCGAACAGCUGGAAUCAUAGUGGAAUUGCGAUCUCGGUGGAAGCAGAGGGUUGUCAGGGGACGACAAGUUUGACGUCGUUUUUCACCAUGGAGGGAAAUUCGUUAAUGAUGGUAAACUGAAAUAUGAGGUUCUCAAUGCUGCUUUCUCUCCACAAUAGCACAUCACUGACACGCCCAAAUCUAUAGACCCACUUCCACCACAAAAGGACGCACUUGGGUUUUGAUUUCCCCCAACAUUGCAGGAUGAACACUGUCCACAAGACAUUUCUCCCAAACGCAGCAAGAUGAACACUGGGGUUUAUGGAUGAUUCAUUGCACUUAUAUAUAGCAAUUCUGAACUGUUUUU